rnacentral:rRNA from 1 species
AAUCUGGUUGAUCCUGCCAGUAGUCAUAUGCUUCUUUCAAGGACUAAGCCAUGCAAGUGUAAGAGUAAUGCCUUAAAGCAUAGGUCUGCGAAUGGCUCAUUACAACAGCAACAAUCCUAUUGACUAAGUGUGGCUUCGCCCGGGGCUACUCCAUGUGUAUAUCUGGCUCAACCGGCUAGUUAAUACGUGUACGAAAGCACUAUCCUCACAACCCUGUGUGGUCGCAAGGCCUCCAGGGGAGGGUGGUGGCUUGUGGAUGACCUUAAAAGUACUGGUGCCCGAAAGGGCAUUGCAUAUAUGUUGAGUCAGUCCAAUGGGUAGCAAUACCAGAGCGGCUCCGGCCAGCUGCAAAGUCAUAGGAACUUCUGCCCUAUCAGCUCUUGAUGGUGAGGUAGUGGCUCACCAUGGCAUUGACGGGUAACAGAGAAUUAGGGUUUGAUUCUGGAGAGGGAGCCUGAKAAAUGGCUACCACUGCUAUGGYAGGCAGCAGGCGCGCAAAUUGCCCAAUACCAAUUCAUUGGUGAGGCAGCGACGAAAAAUAGCAUUUCCGACUUCUCAAGGAGUCAGAGUUUGCCAUGGAUAGUAUGUAAACACAGUAAUGAGUAACAACUGGAGGGCAAGUCUGGUGCCAGCAGCCGCGGUAAUUCCAGCUCCAGUAGCGUAUACUAAUAUUGUUGCUGUUAAAAAGCUCGUAGUUCGAUGCAGAGUUGAGGCUGUAGGACAGCUCCUUAAAUCAAAGUUCAAACAUGAUCGUCAAAUAAUCAGGUUCCGAUACUUUAAAGGAGACUCAACUGUUCUGCAGAAUUUGUCCUCAAACUCUAGGCAGUGGUAUGUCUUGGCCAAGGCUCAUUCAUUUGAGUCCGAGGUGGGAGCACACCAAAGUGAGUGUGUGGUUAGAGGCAAAAGUCCUACUAUGUAGGCUUCCUCCUCCCUCAGAGACAUAACCGCGAAAGUCAUUGUGAACAAAUCAGUGUGAUCAAAGCAGCUGGUCCUUCUGGCUGAAUGCUUCAGCAUGAAAUGACAAGGGAUCGACCAACGGGUAUUACCCAAGAGUUCUGCCAGUGCUUUGUGACCCUGUUUGGGCAAUGUGGGGCGUCCUACGAUACUUGAUCAUACGGGUUUUCGGACUCGAUCCUGUAUCUAGGCGAACCAAACGUUAUCAAUGGGAGCUCUCGAGGUGGUGUGUAUUUCUGCGUUAGAGGUGAAAUUCUUAGACCGUAGAAGGACAUACUGCGGCGAARGCGCUCUUCCAGUCUAGCUCUGUCUAUCAAGAACGAAAGUGUGGGGAGCAAAGAUGAUCAGAUACCGUUGUAGUCCWCUACUGUAAACUAUGUCAGUCAGGUUCCGAUUGUGCACUGCAAGGCAUAUGACUCAAACGGAAUCCCUUCCUAAACGAGAAAUCCAGAACCUAUGGAUUCAGGGGGGAGUACUGUCGCAAGGCUGAAACUUAAAGGAAUUGACGGAGUGACACCACAAGGUGUGGAGUAUGCGGCUUAAUUUGACUCAACACGGGGAACCUUACCAGGUCAGGACGCAGUUAGGAUUGACAGACUGUGAGCUCUUUCUUGAUCCUGUGGAGGGUGGUGCAUGGCCGUUCUUAGUUCGUGGAUUGGUCUGUCUGGUUAAUUCCGUAAACGAACGAGAACUCUACCUUCCAAUAGACCUUCAUCUCGUUGUAAUGGCUUGUCCUGCGAUGUAGUUUACUAUGUUGUCUGGAGCUUGUCCAGAGAGUUUGAGGUGCUUCUGCAAGGGACUGUGUGACGUCAAGCACACUGAGGUUAGAGUCAACAGCAGGUCUGUGAUGCUCCUAAAUGUCCUGGGCUGCACGCGCACUACACUGGCAAGGACACUUAGCUGAACCAGCUCCGGCUGGUCCUUCUCCGUGAGGAGUGGGUAACCUGUUAACCCUCAAUUAGUCAUGUUUGAGCCGUGUCAGGGAUAGAUGUUUGCAAUUAUCCACCUUGAACGAGGAAUACCUAGUAAGCAUAGGUCAUCAGCCUAUAUUGAUUACGUCCCUGCCACUUGUACACACCGCCCGUCGUUGCUACUGAUGGUAUGGUAACAGAGGCUGGAAGAGAGACGCUUUCUCUCGAGUUGGCUGUCUCAAAUCCAUCCAAUGUUGUCAUGCUAGAAGAAGCAAAAGUCGUAACAAGGUUGCUGUAGGUGA